rnacentral:lncRNA from 1 species
GAACCUUCACCAUUCUCCCAUCACAGAAGUAAUCACGAAAUUUCUAGUCUUUCAUUAAGAAGAAAUUCUAUUUCAGCUAAUAAAGGCAUCAAACAGGGGGCGAAAUCCUCCAGGUCGGAUUCAGGGGCAAGUGUUAACAUACACAACCCAGGGUGAAACCCAACUAUCGUCGACCUCUUUUUACAUAAAACCUAGGGUGAAACCCUAACCAAUAGCCAACCAUUCUUCAUCCAAAACCAAGCCAUUUGAUCAUUUCGACUUUAGGUGGACCCUUGGUUCUCAA